rnacentral:rRNA from 1 species
UACGGGGGGGGCAAGCGUUGUUCGGAAUUACUGGGCGUAAAGGGCUCGUAGGCGGCCAACUAAGUCGGACGUGAAAUCCCCAGGCUCAACCUGGGAACUGCGUCCGAUACUGGAUGGCUUGAAUUCGGGAGAGGGAUGCAGAAUUCCAGGUGUAGCGGUGAAAUGCGUUGAUAUCGGGAGGAAUACCCGUGGCGAAGGCGAUCCACUGGGCAUCAACUGACGCUGAGGCGCGAAAGCGUGGGUAGCAAACAGG